GAGGCGGCAGUCUACACAUGCAGUCGAGCGGUAGCACAGAGAGCUUGCUCUCGGGUGACGAGCGGCGGAAGGGAAAGUAAUGUCUGGGAAACUGCCUGAUGGAGGGGGAUAACUACGGGAAACGGUAGCUAAUACCGCAUAACGUCGCAAGACCAAAGUGGGGGACCUUCGGGCCUCAUGCCAUCAGAUCUGCCCAGAUGGGAUUAGCUAGUAGGUGGGGUAACGGCUCACCUAGGCGACGAUCCCUAGCUGGUCUGAGAGGAUGACCAGCCACACUGGAACUGAGACACGGUCCAGACUCCUACGGGAGGCAGCAGUGGGGAAUAUUGCACAAUGGGCGCAAGCCUGAUGCAGCCAUGCCGCGUGUGUGAAGAAGGCCUUCGGGUUGUAAAGCACUUUCAGCGGGGAGGAAGGCU
rnacentral:rRNA from 1 species